CUGUCUUCCUUCAAUGUACUCAUUCUGUUCAGAUUUGGCGGUUCGCUAGUCUUUCUAUUUCUCAGGUUUUCGUUAACAAGUUCGUUGAACAACUGUUUGAUAGUGAUUUUGUGCAGAGUAGGGAUCGGAUUCUUACUAUUCUUUGGAGUAUCUGGUUCCAUCGUAACCUCUUCUGUUGGCAGCGAAAGGAUGUGUUGGUUUCUCAUAUUGUGUUGUUUGUGGAUGCUUACUUGCAGGGAGGCCAAUGGGUUGUUUGAACGAGUGCAGCCGCGGCGGCCUGCUACCUCAGAAUCUGCUACGUUUUGGCAGCCACCACCGGAGGGUACUUUGAAGUGCAAUGUGGAUGCUGCUCUUCGAGACUCGUGGGGUGUCCUUGUUGGCUGGUGCUCAUUUGAACCCCAUUUUGGCAGGAGACGAUGGCAGUUAAGGAGGCGCUAUCAUGGCUUGGUCUAUGCGCGUUGACAGUGUCAUGGUUGAGUCUGAUUGCUUUCAAUUGGUUCAAGGUUUAUUUUUCUCAUUGUUAUAAUUAGUCUCACUGUUAAAGUUCAUUUUUCUAAGCCAUCAUCAUCCAAAAUUUCAAACGGGAAGUUUUAACAUUCCAUUGAAUUCUUGAAGAUGAAAAUGUUGUUAUU
rnacentral:lncRNA from 1 species